CCCUUAGAUGUUCUGGGCUGCACGCGCGCUACACUGAUGCGAUCAACAAGUUUUUCCUAUGUCGAUAGACACGGGUAAUCUUUUGAACUCGCAUCGUGAUGGGGAUAGAUUAUUGUAAUUAUUAAUCUUCAGCGAGGAAUUCCUAGUAGGUGCAAAUCAUCAGUUUGCAUCGAUUACGUCCCUGCCCUUUGUACACACCGCCCGUCGCUGCUACCGAUUGGUUGAUCUGGUGAAUUAUUCGGACUGCCGGCUGAAGGGGUUUCCUCAUCUGCCAGCGGAAAGUCUUGUUAACCCUAUCAACUAGAGGAAGCAGAAGUCGUAACA
rnacentral:rRNA from 1 species